UGCUUCUCCUCUCUUAGGAACAAUCUGGCCCGAGGGAAGGAGGCCACCUGAAUGACAACGGGAUGACCCAGAGGCAGACACCAGAGCUGGAGAAGUUUCUAUCUGAAACCAAGUUUGUUCCAGGCCAACUAGAAGAGAAAACAACAACAACAACAACAACAACAACAACCACAAAAACCACCCCUAGUCUACAACAGCUUAGUUUAACAAGGAGGAAGAGAAGACCACGAACUUCAACUUACACGUGAAUCUAGAGGCAUGUAUUUGAGUUGACAAGAGCUAGAGCCAAAUCCUGACCAGUGCAGGGAGAACUAUGAGGACUUUGUGGAAGAACAGAGUAUGAAGCAGGGGCCUAGCAGUGACAGAACCCACAACACAUUAAGAAGGUUCACCCAGAAGGAGAGAGACCUGCCCUCAGUGGGGAAGCACGGAGAUUUGGUUUUAAAUGUGUCAGUAACUUGCCCAGAUAAACUAAAGCCUACAAAUGAGGACUGAGUCCCCUUGCUGGAAUCUUUCAGUCUUGAGUUUGUGUUGCUUGUCAGUCACCUGCCACAUGAAGAAGGCUGAGUCUUGGGGAAUGAAAGAAACUGCGUUUGCUGGGAAAUAAGACAAGGAUGUGUAGGAAAUCCCUUAGAGAAGAUCCUCGGAAAUGGAGAUGAAGUCAAGAAAAGGAGGUCUAAAUGAAUCUAAAUAUACUCUAAAAUGAACAGAAAGAAGACAAAAACUGAGGAGUGAGUCAUUUCUAAAACUGAGAUCCUGGGGCGCCUGGGUGGCUUAGUCGGUUAAGCAUCUGCCUUUGGCUCAGGUCGUGAUCCCAGGGUCCUGGGAUUGAGCCCUGCAUCGGGCUUCCUGCUCAGUGAAGAGCCUGCUUCUCCCUCUGCCUGCCACUCUGACUAUCUGUGCACUCUAUCUCUCUGUCAAAUAAAUAAAUAAAAUCUUUAAAUAAAUAAAUAAAUAAAUAAAUAAAUAAAUAAAUAAAUAAAUAAAACUGGGAUCCUUUAGGGGUGCCUCGGUAGUGCAGCUGGUUAAGCAUCCCACUCUUGGUUGCGGCUCAGGUCCUGAUCUCAGGGUCCUGCUGAGAUGGAGUCCCGUGGUGGGCUCUGCGCUCAGUGGGGAGUCUGCUUGAGGUUCUCUCUCCCUCUCUCCCUCUGCCCCUACCCACCACAUGUGUGUGCUC